rnacentral:rRNA from 1 species
CUACGGGUGGCAGCAGUGAGGAAUAUUGGUCAAUGGGCGGAAGCCUGAACCAGCCAAGUCGCGUGAGGGAUUAAGGCCCUAUGGGUCGUAAACCUCUUUUGUCAGGGAGCAAUGGCGUCCACGUGUGGGCGUAUGGAGAGUACCUGAAGAAAAAGCAUCGGCUAACUCCGUGCCAGCAGCCGCGGUAAUACGGAGGAUGCGAGCGUUAUCCGGAUUUAUUGGGUUUAAAGGGUGCGUAGGCGGAAUAUCAAGUCAGCGGUAAAAAUUCGGGGCUCAACCCCGUCGUGCCGUUGAAACUGAUGUUCUUGAGUGGGCGAGAAGUAUGCGGAAUGCGUGGUGUAGCGGUGAAAUGCAUAGAUAUCACGCAGAACUCCGAUUGCGAAGGCAGCAUACCGGCGCCCAACUGACGCUGAAGCACGAAAGCGUGGGUAUCGAACAGGAUUAGAUACCCGAGUAGUC